rnacentral:rRNA from 1 species
GGAUGCGAUCAUACCAGCACUAAUGCACCGGAUCCCAUCAGAACUCCGAAGUUAAGCGUGCUUGGGCGAGAGUAGUACUAGGAUGGGUGACCCCCUGGGAAGUCCUCGUGUUGUGCGGU